rnacentral:rRNA from 1 species
UGAACGCUGGCGGCGUGCCUAAUACAUGCAAGUCGAGCGAACGGACGAGAAGCUUGCUUCUCUGAUGUUAGCGGCGGACGGGUGAGUAACACGUGGAUAACCUACCUAUAAGACUGGGAUAACUUCGGGAAACCGGAGCUAAUACCGGAUAAUAUUUUGAACCGCAUGGUUCAAAAGUGAAAGACGGUCUUGCUGUCACUUAUAGAUGGAUCCGCGCUGCAUUAGCUAGUUGGUAAGGUAACGGCUUACCAAGGCAACGAUGCAUAGCCGACCUGAGAGGGUGAUCGGCCACACUGGAACUGAGACACGGUCCAGACUCCUACGGGAGGCAGCAGUAGGGAAUCUUCCGCAAUGGGCGAAAGCCUGACGGAGCAACGCCGCGUGAGUGAUGAAGGUCUUCGGAUCGUAAAACUCUGUUAUUAGGGAAGGACAUAUGUGUAAGUAACUGUGCACAUCUUGACGGUACCUAAUCAGAAAGCCACGGCUAACUACGUG